rnacentral:rRNA from 1 species
GCUUACGGCCACACCUCCCUAGCACAGCCCCGAUCUCGUCUUGAUCUCGGAAGCUAAGCGGGUCGGGCCCGGUUAGUACUUGGAUGGGAGACCGCCUGGGAAUACCAGGUGCUGUAGCCU